GGUGGAGCAGCGGGUGGGCCAUGUGGAAGAGUGACGAUGGUGAAAGCGUGGUGGCCCUGCGGAGGGAGAGUGGGGGCAGAGUUGAGUGAUCCCAAGACAGCACCAUCCCCAGGCCUGUGACUGAGUGGGUGUGGAGACGGGGGAGAGACGGUGGAUCAAGAACACCUCCGGGCCCCUCGUUGCAACAGCUCACCAGAGAGGAACGACGUCAUUUGCAAACAGGCAAUGCUGUACCUGAAGAAGUGUCCAUCAUUGGCAACCAACCUUGUGCUCGCUGAAGGCAAGAAGCCUGGGCCCUGAGGUUAGACCUGCUGCGCUCGGUGCAGACGAACAAAUGAGCCAGAUAUAGGCAAAUUCUUAUGGAACUUCAAAUCAUGAGGCUUGUGGAAGAUGGAAAACACUCGUUGGGAAACUCAGGAGGUUCCAACGCCAGGACCACCUCCCCCUCCCGAUGCCGGCUACACAUGCCCUGCCUAGGUUUGUCACCAUGUUGACCCAGACAUGACACGGCUCCCCCCCA